rnacentral:rRNA from 1 species
UACGAAGGGGGCUAGCGUUGCUCGGAAUCACUGGGCGUAAAGGGUGCGUAGGCGGGUCUUUAAGUCAGGGGGGAAAUCCUGGAGCUCAACUCCAGAACUGCCUUUGAUACUGAGGAUCUUGAGUUCGGGAGAGGUGAGUGGAACUGCGAGUGUAGAGGUGAAAUUCGCAGAUAUUCGCAAGAACACCAGUGGCGAAGGCGGCUCACUGGCCCGAUACUGACGCUGAGGCACGAAAGCGUGGGGAGCAAACAGG